rnacentral:rRNA from 1 species
GAUGAACGCUGGCGGCGUGCCUAAUACAUGCAAGUCGAGCGAACAGAUGAGGAGCUUGCUCCUCUGACGUUAGCGGCGGACGGGUGAGUAACACGUGGAUAACCUACCUAUAAGACUGGGAUAACUUCGGGAACCCGGAGCUCAUACCGGAUAAUAUAUUGAACCGCAUGGUUCAAUAGUGAAAGACGGUUUUGCUGACACUUAUAGAUGGAUCCGCGCCGCAUUAGCUAGUUGGUAAGGUAACGGCUUACCAAGGCAACGAUGCGUAGCCGACCUGAGAGGGUGAUCGGCCACACUGGAACUGAGACACGGUCCAGACUCCUACGGGAGGCAGCAGUAGGGAAUCUUCCGCAAUGGGCGAAAGCCUGACGGAGCAACGCCGCGUGAGUGAUGAAGGUCUUCGGAUCGUAAAACUCUGUUAUUAGGGAAGAACAAAUGUGAAAGUAACUAUGCCCGUCUUGACGGUACCUAAUGAGAAAGCCACGGCUAACUACGUG